rfam:Laccaria amethystina LaAM-08-1 unplaced genomic scaffold K443scaffold_74, whole genome shotgun sequence.
GGCGGACUGGCGUAAUGGUUAACGCGCCAGUUUCCGGUGUUUACACUUGACACCAAGCUGGAGAUUUCUGGGUUCGAGUCCCAGGUUCGUCG